rnacentral:rRNA from 1 species
GAUGUACGUUGGCGGGGUGCAUAAUACAUGCAAGUCGAGCGAACGGACGAGAUGCUUGCUUCUCUGAUGUUAGCGGCGGACGGGUGGGUAACAUGGGGAUAACUUACCUAUAAGAAUUCGAUAACCUUGGGAGACCGGAGCUAAUACGGGCUGAUUUUUUGAACCGGUUGGUUCGAAAGUUUAAGACCGUCCUGCUGUCCCUUUUAGCUGGAUCCGCGCUGCAUUAGCUAUUUGUUAAGGUAAUGGCUUACCAAGGCAACGAUGCAUAGCCUACGUGAGAGUGUGAACGGCCACACUUUAACUGGGACACGGUCCAGACUCCUACGGGAGGCAGCAGUAGGGAAUCUUCCGCAAUGGGCGAAAGCCUGACGGAGCAACGCCGCUUCAGUGAUGAAGGUCUUCGGAUCGUAAAACUCUUUUAUUAGGGAAGAACAUAUGUGUAAGUAACUGGGCACAUCUUGACGGUACCUAAUCAGAAAGCCACGGCUAACUACGUG